UACGUAGGGUCCGAGCGUUGUCCGGAAUUAUUGGGCGUAAAGGGCUCGUAGGCGGUUUGUCGCGUCGGGAGUGAAAACACGGGGCUUAACCCCGUGCCUGCUUCCGAUACGGGCAGACUAGAGGUAUGCAGGGGAGAACGGAAUUCCUGGUGUAGCGGUGAAAUGCGCAGAUAUCAGGAAGAACACCUAUGGCGAAGGCAGCUCUCUGGGACGGUACUGACGCUGAGACGCGAAAGCGUGGGGAGCGAACAGG
rnacentral:rRNA from 1 species